AUUCUCCUUCUCUCUCUGAGUGCCGCGUUUUUGGCCAUCUGUCUCUCUCCUGAGGGUCCUUUCUUCUGUUUUCAAUGUAUAUUAUUGUGUAUUAAGUUUUCAGAGUACGCCUGAAGUCCUAAACACCGAAAGGUUUGUACGCGCCACACGCGCACAGCAAGAAAAAGAAGCUGACAGAGUGAGAGUUUUCUCUCUCAGCCGGACGAUACAGGAGUCCAGAUCUGAAGUCAGAUUAGCCUAGCCUCUUCUGACAGUAUGGACAAUGGUUGGUGUUUGCUGACCGGCGGGAUAUGCUGUGCUGCUCUCUGACAACAGGGCAGAUCUACUAUCUUCGGCUCUCUACCUCUGGUUCUCCCUCUCCGAAAUCCCCGAGUGUUGCAAUAUGUUGGGCUCUUUAUCGCUUUUACUUCUGAAAAGGUUUCAUUUUAUAAGUACUGUAGAUUUCAAAUUUAUCUGGGCUGCAUUUGAUCUAAAUGUGAUUUCAAGCCAAUUAACUUGAAGCAAAACCAUGAUUUUAGUAGAUUGGAUUAGGCUAGGAGAUCUUGGUCGAUUUCAUCAAGUGAUGAGGGGAAGUCCAGUGCACUUUGGAUCGGCAGUAAGGCUGAAGUUGGAGUGGUAGCGGAUUUCAUGGAAAGAGAACAAUUUCCCUCAACACAAUGGUUUCACUUCCAAUUCAGUGACCCCAUCAGAGGACAACAGCAUAGCAUGGAGCACGGUAGAGAACUAGAGAUACUAGAGACCAGCUCGAGGGAGAGGGUUGAGAUUGAGCAAGUCUCAAAUCUUGAUUUUGAAGUAUAAAAAGGCUAUUGCAUCUGAUCGAUACGAUAAAAGGUUGGCAACCGAACAAGUAGAUCUGGGGAGUCUUAGAAAUGAGGUGGAAGAGAAUCUGAGAUGAUCUGCUAGGUAGAGUCAGCAAAAAUCUGGUGGGAAAGAUGGACAGGAGAUUGAGAAACUCCGUUGGAUUAAACGAUGUUUGUUUUCCGGCUGACAUUUUGGUCAAUUGGUUCCAAAGUUGAAGACGAAAAGUCAAAAGCUUGAACGGAAAAGAAGAGAAGAUGUGCGUGCAGAGGCGCCAAGCGAUUGAGAAGGACUGAAAAAUUCGUUCUUGGGUGGUAUGUAGAUCGAAAUUUCAGAAAUUUGUUCUAAGGUCGCAGCUUGGAGUUGGUCUGUAGGAAAAAGGAAGCGACUUUUAAUGAUAAUUUUAUCUGGCUUGAUUUCUUUCAUCAGUCUUGGUUGAUAGACGAGCAGUGGUUAAUCUCCUUCUGUCAUCAUCAACAACCUCUGCGGUUCGGUGAGAACAUGUAUAGGGAGGUUACUAAUGUUCCGUCUUCGAAGAAAAGAACCACAGCAGCCUGGUCAACAGCGAUAGCGAUAAUGAGGACAACCAGGUCAAGAAGCAGGCCAAAAGGAAAGAAGAAGAUCAUGAAAAGCAGAACGCCCAGGAAUUAGCUGACAAUUGUAUCCACCAAAUCCUCGAAUCUUUUUCCACUAGACUUGCUAUCCGGGCCACAAUUCUUUCCAAGCAGUGGGAACGUGUAUGGUCUUUAGUCCCAGUUUUAGAUUUUGAUGAGAAAGAACCUUAUUUUGGCAAAUAUUAUCUUGGUGACUAUUAUGAAUAUGAAAAGUUUGUGAAAAUUGUCACCAUGUGUUUGAAGCGCCGUGAGAGUGAUAAGUAGUUAGAUAAGUUCAGGCUUCGAAUGGGAUACUGUGAAGAAACCCGUACCGACAGUCCCCUCAUGGAUAAGUGGUU